rnacentral:rRNA from 1 species
AGAAUCAAACGCUGGCGGCGUGCCUAACACAGUGCGAAGUACGGCACGAGAAAGGGGGAGCAAUCCCUGAGUAAAGUGGCGCACGGGUGAGUAACACGUGAAUGAUCUACCUCCGAGUGGGGAAUAAACUGAGAGAAAUCUUAGCUAAUACCGCAUAACACUUACGAGUCAAAGCAGCAAUGCGCUUGGAGAGGAGUUCGCGGCCGAUUAGCUAGUUGGCGGGGUAAUGGCCCACCAAGGCGAUGAUCGGUA